rnacentral:rRNA from 1 species
UACGUAGGUGGCAAGCGUUGUCCGGAAUCACUGGGCGUAAAGCGCGCGCAGGCGGCGAUCUACGUCUGGGGUGAAAGCCCGGAGCUCAACUCCGGGACUGCCUUGGAUACGGGAUCGCUUGAGGAUUGGAGAGGCAAGGGGAAUUCCACGUGUAGCGGUGAAAUGCGUAGAGAUGUGGAGGAACACCUGUGGCGAAGGCAGCUCGCUGGGACGGAACUGACGCUAAGGCGCGAAAGCGUGGGGAGCGAACAGG